rnacentral:rRNA from 1 species
GAUGAACGCUGGCGGCGUGCCUAAUACAUGCAAGUCGAGCGAACGGACGAGAAGCUUGCUUCUCUGAUGUUAGCGGCGGACGGGUGAGUAACACGUGGAUAACCUACCUAUAAGACUGGGAUAACUUCGGGAAACCGUAGCUAAUACCGGAUAAUAUUUUGAACCGCAUGGUUCAAAAGUGAAAGACGGUCUUGCUGUCACUUAUAGAUGGAUCCGCGCUGCAUUAGCUAGUUGGUAAGGUAACGGCUUACCAAGGCAACGAUGCAUAGCCGACCUGAGAGGGUGAUCGGCCACACUGGACCUGAGACACGGUCCAGACUCCUACGGGAGGCAGCAGUAGGGAAUCUUCCGCAAUGGGCGAAAGCCUGACGGAGCAACGCCGCGUGAGUGAUGAAGGUCUUCGGGUUGUAAACCGCUUUCGCCUGUGACGAAGCGUGAGUGACGGUAAUGGGUAAAGAAGCACCGGCUAACUACGUG